rnacentral:rRNA from 1 species
UAGUCCAUGCCGUAAACGAUGAUUACUCGAUGUUGGCGAUAUUCAGUGACUAAGCGAAAGUGAUAAGUGUCCCACCUGGGGAGUACGAUCGCAAGAUUGAAACUCAAAGGAAUUGACGGGGGCCCGCACAAGCGGUGGAGCAUGUGGUUUAAUUCGAUGAUACGCGAGGAACCUUACCAGGGCUUAAAUGUAGUAUGACAUGAGUGGAGACACUUUUAUCUUCGGACAUAUUACAAGGUGCUGCAUGGUUGUCGUCAGCUCGUGCCGUGAGGUGUCAGGUUAAGUCCUAUAACGAGCGCAACCCUUAUCGUUAGUUGCCAGCAUUUUAAGAUGGGGACUCUAACGAGACUGCCGGUGCAAACCGUGAGGAAGGUGGGGAUGACGUCAAAUCAUCACGGCCCUACGUCCUGGGCUACACACGUGCUACAAUGGUAUGGACAAUAAGCAGCCACAACGCAAGUUGGAGCGAAUCUAUAAACCAUAUCACAGUUCGGA